AAUAGAAUAGAGUUAGUUUUACUUUACUUGUAAUGUGUGGGGGAAAUGGACUGGAAGAAGACAGAGGUUCGGGUGGGGUCGAGGUUGGAGUCGACCCAGUUGGACCAUGUCCUCAACCCUCUCUCCAGCGCCACCAGCCGAUCCAUGUCUUCGAACUACCCUUGAAGUGAGCCUUUGUGAGUCCACCAGUGGCCGGUGUUGAAUGACAAGACAUCGGCAGUCAGCCAGGACUUGGCAUUCCGGGAGAUAUCCUCGAGCUUCAGGACCCUCUUGCCUUGCACCCCAUCUACGUCCACCAAGUAUGGCGCUCUGUAAAAUGAUAUCGACACUCCGUACUCCUGCCAGCCCAGCCCCUCAUCAAUCAUGAAUUAAUUGCCCCUUUUUAAUUUAAUUUUCAAUUGAAAAUAAAUAAAUAAGUCAAAUAAUUUCUUA